AAUGUCAUGUACUUCAUUUCUAUUCUUAAUAUAAUGAGCUUUUAUAUGCAUAUAUUCCUUUUUUGAGGGGGAGCUCAUAUUAAGGGGGAGAUUUUUACAUUCUUCUUUUUGCUUAUGAUAAAAAAGGGGGAGAAGAAAUUUAUUAAGGGGAGAAAUAAAACUGUACAGGUACUGCUAACCUUGUGGCUGUUUUAGUUUUGUAUGUGCUGCAGGUAAAACUGAGUUGCUUUUAAAAGAAGAUUUUUUAUCAUCAUCAAAAAGGGGGAGAUUGUUACCAAUAAGGAAGUAUUGGUAAAACCUGAAGAUAAGUUUUGAUGAUNCUGCAAAUUGUAGUUUUUGAAUGUAAUAGGAGAAUACUUAAAAAGCAACUUGUAGAUUUGGAAUGUAGUAGAAAAAUGAUAAACAUUGUAAUUUCUACUGGUAUAAUCGAUUAUGGUUAAGNN
rnacentral:lncRNA from 1 species